UACGUAGGCAGCGAGCGUUGUUCGGAGUUACUGGGCGUAAAGGGUGUGUAGGCGGUUGUUUAAGGUUGGUGUGAAAUCUCCCGGCUCAACUGAGAGAAUGCGCCGAAUACUGAAUGACUUCGAGUACGGGAGAGGUGAGUGGAAUUCCUGGUGUAGCGGUGAAAUGCGUAGAUAUUGGGAAGAACACCUGAGGCGAAGGCGGGUUGCUGGGCCGACACUGACGCUGAUGCGCGAAAGCCAGGGGAGCGAACGGG
rnacentral:rRNA from 1 species